CGCGCAGCGCGGGCCGCGCGGGCCUGGAAAGGGGGUGUGUGCGGGCUGACCUCGCCUCGCCGCUCCCCGGUCCGUCCCCUCGGCACCCCUCUUUCCCUUUCUUCCCGCGCCUAGGGCCUGCGGAGCCCCGGGAGCACCCCGCCACCGCCCCUGUCCGACCGCCCCGCCACCCCCGGCGCAGCGCCCGGGAGUGCAGGAAACCGGCAUAUGCCAGGCUCCACACGUGGCUGCUCCGGGGUAUCAUUUUUCAUUUCCCGAGAGGACAUUUCUCCUGGUGAGCCGGCAGGUCUGUUUUGUUGUGACCUUUAAUUAACACCCCGCGAGACGCCUCGAGAAGGACCGGCCCAGUACGGGGAUCACGUGAGGUGUAAUGGCAUCUCCGCGCCCGGGGACACCGGCCUGGGGGUGGCCGAGGGCGCAAAACACGUUUGGGGCUUUCCAGUCGCUGGCUUCCUUCUGAGAUAGGGAGGGGGCGGGAAGACAAUCUUCUGGGGGUGCUGAAACCCUGGGGCAACGCCCCUCCCGCCUUGCUCGGGGAGAAUUCCUUCUGUGCCUCCCUCCCGCUGCCAUCCACCCACCGCCCUGCCGCCGCAGCCCUGGCGUGGGAAGAUUUCACAGCCACCAAAGCGAGGCUGGGGAAGAAAAGACCAGUUAUUGAAAACAGAGAGGGAGACCAGACAAUAUGUGCUCAGCCCCUGGACGCUGGGCACCGGAUGUGACAGCUGUGAACCACACCACCACUUACCACAAGCAGUAACCUGCUUUGAGAAGGGAUCCGGCCAGCCCAUGUGUCACUGUUUAUAAUUGUGAAGGAAGAAAAACAACCGACACGUGCAUCUGUGUGUGUGUGGGGGGUAAUAACUUACACUGUCCUCAGACCAGGAAAUACUAUGCAGCCAUUAAAAACAUUUUCAUAAAAGAAGAAUUUUAUGGAAGUAAUAGAAAGACAGUGAUGAUGUGUUAAAUUAAAAACUUUAAGUAGGUACAGUAUGAUGAUAACCCAGUGAAAGUAUAUAAUCAGGAAAAAAAAAAAGACUAGAAUCCAGCAUCAAAACAUUAAGAGUAUAAAAUGUCUCUGGGAGUUUCCAAUUCUGUUUUCAGAGACAAAUAUAAUAUUGUUAUUAUUAUAAGAAAAAGGUUACUAAAAUAAGAAAAGAAAUCAGAGCAAGUUUUGAUUUUUAGGAAAGGGAUCGCAAGGAGCUAGAGGGUAACGGAUGGGGCUGCCCCACAAGCACCCAUGGUCACACACGUCCAGGAACGUACACACACACACACACACACACACACACACACACCCCUUCAUGCUUAGCUGAGGCCAGGACAAAAAAACCAAACAAAGCCAAGGAGGGAAAUGAGUAGAGAAUGUCGGUGAUUCAAUAUUUUAUAAUAAAAUAGGUGUUCCAAGCACUUAACCAAAAAAAGAAAAAACUAAUCACACUUCAUUUAUCUAUACAACUUCUUAAAAUUGGAGUUUGGACUAUAAGAGAGGGAACUCAGAGCUCUUUAGAGGUGAGGUGACUUGCCCAAAGACACGGAUCCAGCCAAGGGAGGGUGCCCAGGAAAAAACCCAGAGCCUUCUUUGGUCCCCAGCCAGGAGCCAGGAGCCGGGAGCCAGGAACAGAGGUGCCAUGCCAGCUGGCAACAAGUAGAAAUAAGGCUGUGACAGUCCAGGACAUGAGGUAAAACCAAACCAUAUCUGUUGGAUGACUGCUCCGAUGAACUGAGGGCAGAGUAGGGCCAACUGUCAUUGCAUGAGUGCCGGGGAACAAUUUUAUUUAAAAUUUCUAGAACAGCAUUCAGCUUACAGGCAGGUCAAGUACAGCCCAGCACAACAAAGGAGUCAGGGGAGGUCAGAGAAGGGUGGAGUACUCUCCCUGGAGGGGGCAGCGAGGGGCCCCUGGGGAAAGAGCCAUUGACGGGGCGGGGCAAGAUGGAGCAGGGAUUAGGAAAAUGUAGAACGGACAUCAGACAAGGGACAGGGAGGUCACAAGGGCACCAUUUUUCCAGAUAGGCCCACCUGUUAGGAGGUAAAAAAGCAAAAGGAGAUGUUCUAAUUUGCUCACCAGAAAAUAAUCUAAUCCCAAGGCGAAAGAUGUGAACACAUAUUUCAUCCAAAACAGUGGCAAAUAG
rnacentral:lncRNA from 1 species